AUUGAACGCUGGCGGCAGGCCUAACACAUGCAAGUCGGACGGUAGCACAGAGAGCUUGCUCUCGGGUGACGAGUGGCGGACGAGUGAGUAAUGUUUGGGGAUCUGCCCGAUAGAGGGGGAUAACCACUGGAAACGGUGGCUAAUACCGCAUAACGUCGCAAGACCAAAGAGGGGGACCUUCGGGCCUCUCACUAUCGGAUGAACCCAGAUGGGAUUAGCUAGUAGGCGGGGUAACGGCCCACCUAGGCGACGAUCCCUAGCUGGUCUGAGAGGAGGACCAGCCACACUGGAAAUGAGACACGGUCCAGACUCCUACGGGAGGCAGCAGUGGGGAAUAUUGCACAAUGGGCGCAAGCCUGAUGCAGCCAUGCCGCGUGUAUGAAGAAGGCCUUCGGGUUGUAAAGUACUUUCAGCGGGGAGGAAGGCGAUGUGGUUAAUAACCGCGUCGAUUGACGUUACCCGCAGAAGAAGCACCGGCUAACUCCGUGCCAGCCGCCGCCGUAA
rnacentral:rRNA from 1 species